GACACUACAAAGUAGUCGAAUGGGGCCGGCCGGCGUAGACGUAUUCGGGUCGGUCCCGCCGACGAAUAGGAAAAUUUCAAUUUUGGUACCAACUGUAUCAGUAUAUAAGAGGGGAUAGUAUCAGAUAUUCUCUCUUUGUUGAUCAUUUCUGAAAGUACCGUUUACUUGCAUUGAUAUGGCAGGGAGUGGGGAGAAAUCAAAGAAGUUGCAGCUCUACUCAUAUUGGAGGAGUUCAUGUGCAUUUCGUGUCCGAAUAGCUCUCAAUUUGAAAGGAUUGGAUUAUGAGUAUAAAGCUGUUAACUUGCUUAAAGGAGAACAAAGGGACCCUGGUUA